AUUGAACGCUGGCGGCAUGCCUUACACAUGCAAGUCGAACGGCAGCACGGGGGCAACCCUGGUGGCGAGUGGCGAACGGGUGAGUAACAUAUCGGAACGUGCCCUGGAGUGGGGGAUAACUAGUCGAAAGAUUAGCUAAUACCGCAUACGAUCUACGGAUGAAAGUGGGGGAUCGCAAGACCUCAUGCUCGUGGAGCGGCCGAUAUCUGAUUAGCUAGUUGGUGGGGUAAAGGCCUACCAAGGCAUCGAUCAGUAGCUGGUCUGAGAGGACGACCAGCCACACUGGGACUGAGACACGGCCCAGGACUCCUACGGGAGGCAGCAGUGGGGAAUUGUUCGCAAUGGGCGCAAGCCUGACGACGCAACGCCGCGUGGAGGAUGAAGACCUCGGUCGUAAC
rnacentral:rRNA from 1 species